AUUCCAUGAUGGAGACAUUCUAGGAUGUAGUCUUGGAAGCGCUCCCAUCAUUUUGUUGCUGAAAACUUGUAAUCUUCCUACGGAGAGC
rnacentral:snoRNA from 1 species